GGAAACGCUCGCACGGCAAGGAGAGGGAGGAGAGAGGCAACGGAAGAGAGAGGGAGAAGAGAGAGAAGGAAGAUGGGACCACUUUCUUUCAUUUUCUUUUCUUUUUCUUUAAUCCCUCACACAUGGCCCACCAUGACCUAGGAUGACCUCACAAUCCACUCACCCAAUCCUCCACAACCUCUUCCAAUGGUUGCAAUUUCAUUUUCCGCUGGGGUCCAAUUCUUGUACACUUAAUUUAAUCAAUUCUCAAUCAAUUCCAUUCAAUUGAAGCUCAAUUAAAUUAACCCAUGUGUCCUCGGCCUUCUCAUGACAUUUCCCCAUCAAAUGAUCCAACUUGCAUCCCGAAGAUUCGAUUAAAAACGGCCCUCUGACAAUCCCGAACAUAAACGGCUUUACUUUGCUUUUCUGCCAAAAAUUUCGAUUUGUAGAAAAAUCUUCUGGAGAUGAGUCGACAUUCCUAAAAUGAAUUGUGACUUGACAGAACUUCCAAUUUCUGUAAUCGGGUUCAAUUUCA
rnacentral:lncRNA from 1 species